GCAAAGAAGAUCAAACCCAAUGUUGGAAUCUCACGUCCCUGAAAAAGAUGUUUCCAAAGACAAGCAUUGAAUUAUCUUAGGCAGGGAUUAGGAAGCUACUUAUGCAAACCAGUCUGAACCUGCUCUAUGCAGUUACCUUUUUGAAGAUCUUGAAUAAAACUAAUGUUGUUGAGAGGUUCCCAAUAUACGACUAUUGCAGAAUAUGCACCAUCUCAACGUGUUCCAAAACCAUGGGCUAAAAAAGAUGGCCAUGAAGGGACCAUAUUCAAAGGUGAUAAUAUUUUAUUAAGAAAAGAAGAAUACAAAAAUAAAGAAUGAAGCUGGCGUUGAGACAUCACCACUUGGGAUAAGGACUCCUCUUCCCAAGAUGGUUCAAAAACCCCAAAAGGUAGAUUGACAAACAAUUUACAAGAUUUUGCUAAAUUGAUGAAAAUUCCUAUUUCAAAUUCCUUUUUUGAGCCUUGAUGAUUGGUGAAACAUGAUUUGUAAAGCUGAGUAGAGGUAGUAACAUGAUUUGUUAGUUAUGUUGGUAGUAACAAGGUGACAGCCUAUUGUUGAGUCUAUCACUUGUCAUUUCAUUGCAGUAAGUAUCCUUUUUUUUCAUCCUCUUUAUAUUUAUUUGCAUAAAGUUUCAUUGAGAAAUGUUGUUAUGAACCUAUGAUAUACAUUUCUAAAAUGCAUGGUGAUUGAUUGGGUCUUUUCAUCUGGUGACCUGCCACAUGGAUGGGCAAUAGCCCACAUAUUGUAACAGUCAGACAAUUCUGUUCAACUCAUCAUUUCAAGUUUGCCUUCUGAAUAAAGACAAUAUGAUCAUUCUCAAAGGUAUUGUUUUUAACAAGUAAGCAUUGAUUUUAUUAGUUGAUAUGCCAAUGAGAUCGAACUUUGAUUGGUUU